rnacentral:tRNA from 1 species
CGGAUGUAGCUCAGUUGGGAGAGCACCUGAUUGUGGCUCAGGUGGCCGAGGGUUCGACCCCCUUCAUUC